UUUUAUUUUUUUUUAAUGAAUAUGUUUGGAAAAAAUCCGCGAUGCACUGAAGCCGCGAUAAACGAACCAUGAAAUAGCGAGGCAUCACUGUAUUUGUUAAUGUUACUUGAAGCACUGCUGUAUUCACUUUCAUUCUUCGCACGUCACUGUAUUUCUUGAAAAGAAUUCAUUUUAUGAUAUGUUCUACACAAAAUGUGUAUUUUAAGAACAGAUGGAAAAAAAAAUA